rnacentral:rRNA from 1 species
GACGAACGCUGGCGGCGUGCUUAACACAUGCAAGUCGAACGAGGUGAUUGAAAGCUUGCUUUUGAGAACCGAGUGGCAAACGGGUGAGUAACACGUGGGUGACCUACCUUUUUGUUGGGGAUAACAGUUGGAAACGAUUGCUAAUACCGAAUAAAAUGUAAGAGUCAAUUUUACAUUGAAAGGAGCCUUUAAAGCUUCGCGAUUAGAUGGGCCUGCGGCGUAUUAACUAGUUGGUGAGGUAAUGGCUUACCAAGGUGACGAUGCGUAGCCGAACUGAGAGGUUGAUCGGCCACAUUGGGACUGAGACACGGCCCAAACUCCUACGGGAGACAGCAGUUAGGAAUAUUCGUCAAUGGAGGAAACUCUGAACGAGCAAUGCCGCGUGAGUGAUGAAGGUCUUAUAGAUU